rnacentral:rRNA from 1 species
UACGAAGGGGGGCUAGCGUUGUUCGGAAUUACUGGGCGUAAAGCGUGCGCAGGCGGCUUCUCAAGUCAGGGGUGAAAGCCCAGAGCUCAACUCUGGAAUUGCCUUUGAGACUGAGUGGCUUGAGUACGAGAGAGGUGAGUGGAAUUCCCAGUGUAGAGGUGAAAUGCGUAGAUAUCGGGAGGAACACCUGUGGCGAAAGCGGCUCACUGGACCACAACUGACGCUGAGGCGCGAAAGCUAGGGGAGCAAACAGGG